UACGGAGGGGGCUAGCGUUGUUCGGAAUUACUGGGCGUAAAGCGCGCGUAGGCGGCUUGGUAAGUUAGAGGUGAAAGCCUGGAGCUCAACUCCAGAAUUGCCUUUAAGACUGCCGAGCUAGCAGGUGAGAGAGGUGAGUGGAAUUCCGAGUGUAGAGGUGAAAUUCGUAGAUAUUCGGAAGAACACCAGUGGCGAAGGCGGCUCACUGGCUCAUACUGGACGCUGAGGUGCGAAAGCGUGGGGAGCAAACAGG
rnacentral:rRNA from 1 species